CUAGGAUUAGAUACCCUAUUAUUUAAAAUGUAAAAACUAAAGUAUUAAUAGAUAUGGUCUUUAAACUUAAAAAAUUUGGCGGUAUUUUAGUCUAUUCAGAGGAACCUGUUUUAUAAUCGAUAUUCCACGUUGAACCUUACUUUAAUUUAUAAAUUAGUUUAUAUACCGUCGUUAUAAAAAAUUUUAUAAGAAUAAUAAUUUUUAAAAUUUUAUAUCAGAUCAAGGUGUAGCUUAUGUUAAAGGAAAUAAUGGGUUACAAUAAAAUUAUUUAUAUGAAUAUAAAAAUGAAAAAUUUAUUGAAAAAGGAUUUGAAAGUAAAAUUAAAUAGAUUUUUAAUUUGAUUUUAGCUCUAAAAUAUGUACAUAUCGCCCGUCACUCUUAUUAUUAAAAUAAGAUAAG
rnacentral:rRNA from 1 species